GACGUAGGGCGCGAGCGUUGUCCGGAUUUAUUGGGCGUAAAGAGCUCGUAGGCGGCUUGUCGCGUCGACUGUGAAAUCCCGCGGCUCAACUGCGGGUCUGCAGUCGAUACGGGCAGACUAGAGUUCGGUAGGGGAGUCUGGAAUUCCUGGUGUAGCGGUGAAAUGCGCAGAUAUCAGGAGGAACACCGGUGGCGAAGGCGGGACUCUGGGCCGAUACUGACGCUGAGGAGCGAAAGCGUGGGGAGCAAACAGG
rnacentral:rRNA from 1 species